GACGAACCGUGCGAACGUUGUUCGGAUUCACUGGGCUUAAAGGGCGCGUAGGCGGACUCGCCAGUCUGUGGUGAAAGCCCCCAGCUUAACUGGGGAAGUGCCGUGGAUACUGCGAGUCUGGAGGAGGGUAGGGGCAUCUGGAACGCUGGGUGGAGCGGUGAAAUGCGCAGAUAUCAGGAGGAACACCGGUGGCGAAGGCGGGUCUCUGGGCCGAUAUUGACGCUGAGGAGCGAAAGCGUGGGGAGCGAACAGG
rnacentral:rRNA from 1 species